CCGAUGGAGUCCACUACCACUGACUGACUGACUGAAGAAAGAUUUAGGGAAGGUUAGCAUUGAUGGGUAGUCAGGGCGGCGGAAGUUCUGUCCCCCACCGUGCCUGUGUGAGACUUGGAUAGGAAAAGAGCUCAUUCUGCAAACAGGCUCAGGAUGGGAAAGAUUCUCUCUAAGCAGUUUCCCACGUGGCCUCACUCUUAAGAAGGAUCCAGAGCCCUUCUAUCACUGAAUGUUAGGUUUUUAGAAACAUUCGGAGCUUGCUGCCAGGUUGGUUCUGUUCUUCGCCACAAUUCCUAGGAGACAAGGAGAAAACGAGGCUAAGAAACCCGGGAACAGAGAAUAAAAGAGCUCGUCCAAGAGGCUGGAAGUGGACACGGAGCCUGAGGAAGAGGACGUGGACGAGCCGGAGGACGACGACGACAUGGAUAGGCGGCUGCUGGACACCAACAGGGCUGGCGAGGGCUCUGUACCUGUGGAGUGGACAGAAGGGGGCUCACUACGGGCC